rnacentral:misc_RNA from 1 species
GAUGAAGAACGUAGUGAAAUGCGAUAAGUAAUGUGAAUUGCAGAAUUCAGCGAAUCAUCGAAUCUUUGAACGCACAUUGCGCCCCCCAGUAUUCUGGCGGGCAUGCCUGUUCGAGCGUCAUUUCAACCAUCAAGCCCUGCUUGUGUUGGGGUCCUGCGGCUGCCCGCAGGCCCUGAAAACCAGUGGCGGGCUCGCUAGUCACACCGAGCGCAGUAGCACAUCUCGCUCAGGGCGUGCGGCGGGCUCCAGCCGUUAAAGCACCCACCUUUCGCAAGGUUGACCUCGGAUCAGGUAGGAAUACCCGCUGAACUUAAGCAUAUCAAUAAGCGGAGGA